AGGUAUAGAAGACUCUCUAUGCUGCCCUCUUGAAUAAUGCCCCAAGAAUGCAUGCCUUUCCUGAUCAUUCUGUGAAAUAUUGCUGAGUAAAGGAACGAGUGAAUUGUAGAUGGAUAAAUAUCUAAACAAACUUUGGUCAUGCUGCAAGCCUAGUGGAAAGCCUGAUUCUUCUGGGUAUUGGUCAAGGAACACCCACCCCAGAAUGGAAGUCAUUUAGCAGGAAAGCAGUGGUCUGCUAUUCUCUGAGCACCAUUGACCACUUAUUGGAUUGUGGAAGAGACCUAACUCAAAUUUGGACCAAGAAGUGACUUGAAAUCAAGAUCUCUCCCCAGAAGAGACAACAAUGAAUAGUGCUGUUCACGAGGAGUUGCUGGCUCAGCAGGCCUCUUUGUCUCUGUGCUCAUGACAAGGACAUAUCACCUAACUCUGGGCUCUGGCUCACUUAGUAGCUUCUUUGCCGUUGGACUCUCACACCGAGAUGUCACCGAGCAGCAGCCUUUCCCAGGAAGUUGUUAAGGAGAUGGGAAUCCUCAUGCCUGCUGCUUUUUCCCAAAUCAGAGGAAGCCCGGGAGCCAGUUGCAGUAAAGUCUUGCCAGUAACGUUUCUCUUAAGAACGAGAAAGCUACUCAAAGAAAUGAUCUCUUCCUGGAUGUUGUGGUCCACGAAUAUUAUGUCUGGAACAUCAGAGCCAUCUUGUCUCCAUGAUGGGAGUUCCAUCUAAAGACAAAGUCAAAACCCAGCAGAGGACACAGCUGAAGGAACACGAGAAAGUGGCAUGGAAACGCUGAAGCCCCAGCACCGGCAGACCUCAGUUAUUGGGGCCAAUCAACCUCUUGUUACUGUUCAAGCGAGUUUGGAAACGUUGUCAGAGACCCACAACAGAAAACAACUCAAACAGCUCAUACCUAAAGACUCCUACAUGGCUUUGAUGACAUAAAGAGUUUGUAGAGUGAAGACAGAAAUGGUGAAUGAAUAAACAAUUUGGGCUUGAAUGUAAUGACCAAAAGAAGUCCAGGAGAGUUUCAGGGAACCAACUUGCAGCUACAUCCACAAUUCCUCAACACUGGAACAACAUGCUUAUGACCUUUCCUUUUCACAGCAACAGUGACGUGUUUGGUUUGUAACAGUUUCUGAACCACUGAAGUACUUUUCAACUUUCUCCCUUGGAAAAGCUGGCAUCUUGCCUGAAAUCCUUGGUGUGGUCUAGCAUUGCUUUUGUUUUAAUCACAUUCCAGUGAGAAACAGCCACUUAGCCAAAUUUACAUCAGCACUUCCUAUGGUAGCUAUUGGAAACAGCACGGGCAAAAAUGUUGCUAUCUACUGCAUUCAUUGGACUCUGGUAGCUUGUAACAAAUAAAUAGAUGUAUUUUGGCUCCUCUUCUCCA